UAUGCGGCGCACAUGUCACUGUAAUAGGCGAGUGCCCAGCCGGGAGGCUGCAAUGCGCAAGUAGAGUCACUUUGUGUGUUGGCACCGGCACGUGUAUGUCCAGACUAGUACCGACCAGCGUUCGGACGCAAGUGCGGCACGUUCGUAUGCGGUGCAUAAAAUGCGAGUCGUUCCCUCAGCUAUGGACGCGCACACGUUGUAGCGCAGAACUCGGUCUGCAGUGUCGGGAGGAUGGCGCGGAUGAGGAUGAGGAUGAGGAUGAGGAUGAGAUGAUGGAAGGACGUGCGGUCGGGCGUUAAUCGACCCUCCGCAGACUGCCAGACGACUGCUAUUACCUCGGGGAUCGGGAAGAUAUGAUUACGGAUUGCAGUGGCUGUGAACACCCCGAUAAUAAUAGCAGCAUCAAUUCACAAUUACAUUUGAAAACUGCUCCUUUUGGAUAACCAUUUUGUACGUAAUCGUUCGUAACAACAUGUUAAUUGGAAAGUAACAGAUGAACCCAUUUGACUUGAUUUUCGUUAGCUUAGUUAUAUAUACCCCAGAGUUAUGUCAUACGUAGAGACUAUAGCUACAGAGUAUUGAAUGUCAGUAAAAUUCAAUAUUUCCCGACUCCGCAACGUGUACUUUGUAAACAAUGUAUUAUAUAAGUGCCGAUAAACAAUGUUAA
rnacentral:lncRNA from 1 species